AUCUCAGAAAAACAAAGAUUGCCUGAAGUUGUGCAUCCCUACCAUUGAAAGAUCCCCAAAGGGAGACCCUCACUCAAGCCUCGGGAUGUGGCGCGGACCCAAGAGAGACGCGGAGACCG
rnacentral:pre_miRNA from 7 species